GAUGAACGCUAGCGGUAUGCUUAACACAUGCAAGUCGAGCGGCAGCAUGGUGUUCUCUUGCUAAGGCCGAUGGCGACCGGCGCACGGGUGCCUAACGCGUAUCCAACUUGCCUCACAGAGGUGAAUAACCCGACGAAAGGCGGACUAAUACCGCGUUCACUCCACCUUGGGCAUCCUAGGUAGAGGCAAUGUAGUUCGCUGUGAGAUAGGCAUGCGUUCCAUUAGCUCGUUGGUGAGGUAACGGCUCAUCAAGGCGACGAAGGGUAGGGGAACGGAGAGGUGGAACCCCCGCACUGGGACCGCGACCCAGACCAGUAUGGUACGGGAGGGAGGAGUGAGGAAUACAAGGCGAGGGGCGAUAGCCUGAACACGCCAAGUCGCGUGAAGGAGGACUGUCUUCGGGAUGCUCAACUUCUUGUAUACAGGAAUAAUAAGAGUCACGAGUGACUCCCUGACGGUACCGAAUGAAUAAGCAACGGCUAACUACGUG
rnacentral:rRNA from 1 species